UCAGGACGAACGCUGGCGGCGGGCUUAACACAUGCAAGUCGAACGCGGUCUUCGGACCGAGUGGCGCACGGGUGAGUAACACGUAGACAACCUGCCCUCGAGUGGGGAAUAACCCCGGGAAACCGGGGCUAAUACCGCAUACAGUCCGGGAGGGGCAUCUCUUCCGGAGCAAAGCUGCACCGUUUCGGUGCAGGCGCUCGGGGAUGGGCCUGCGGCGGAUUAGCUAGUUGGUGGGGUAACGGCCCACCAAGGCAGCGAUCUGUAGCUGGUCUGAGAGGAUGAUCAGCCACACUGGCACUGAGACACGGGCCAGACUCCUACGGGAGGCAGCAGUGAGGAAUCUUGCGCAAUGGAGGAAACUCUGACGCAGCCACGCCGCGUGAAGGAAGACACCCCUCAGGGGCGUAAACUUCUUUUCUGUGAGAAGAAAGUCCCGUUCGGCGGGGCCUGACGGUAUCACAGGAAUAAGGACCGGCUAACUCCGUGCCAGCAGCCGCGGUAAUACGGAGGGUCCAAGCGUUGUCCGGAAUCAUUGGGUGUAAAGGGUGUGCAGGCGGGGCAGUAAGUCAGGGGUGAAAGCCCGCGGCUCAACCGUGGAAUUGCCUUUGAUACUGUUGUCCUUGAGUCCCGGAGAGGCCACUAGAAUUCGUGGUGUAGCGGUGAAAUGCGUAGAUAUCACGAGGAAUACCAGAAGCGUAGGCGGGUGGCUGGACGGCGACUGACGCUCAGGCACGAAAGCGUGGGGAGCAAACAGGAUUAGAUACCCUGGUAGUCCACGCCGUAAACGAUGGAUGCUCGGUGUUGUCCCCUUCUGUGGGGCAGUGCCCAAGCUAACGCGAUAAGCAUCCCACCUGGGGAGUACGCUCGCAAGAGUGAAACUCAAAGGAAUUGACGGGGGCCCGCACAAGCGGUGGAGCAUGUGGCUUAAUUCGAUGCAACGCGAAGAACCUUACCUGGGCUCGAACGCCAGAGGACCGGUCCUGAAAGGGGCCUUUCUUCGGACCUCUGGUGAGGUGCUGCAUGGCUGUCGUCAGUUCGUGUCGUGAGAUGUUGGGUUAAGUCCCGCAACGAACGCAACCCCUAUCACUAGUUACCAGCGCGUCAAGGCCGGGGACUCUAUUGGAGACUGCCUGCCCAAGCAGAAAAGGAAGGUUGGGGAUGAACUUCAAGUCAUCAUGGGCCCUUUACGCCCAGGGGUGGCCACAGUGGUUACAAUGGGACUGUACAAUGGGGCAGGCCACCCUCGCGAAGGGGGCGCUAAACCCAGAAAAGCCGGGCCCAAUUUCGGAAUGGAAAUC
rnacentral:rRNA from 1 species